rnacentral:sRNA from 1 species
CCCUAGCCCUGAUGGCAGCGGCAUACUCUUGUGGCGGGGUUCGCCACAAGAGAUAUAGCUAACAGCAGGAAGUAGC